rnacentral:rRNA from 1 species
UAUGUGAUCGUCUCUCGCAUAUCAAUAAGCGGAGGAAAAGAAACUAACAAGGAUUCCCCUAGUAACGGCGAGUGAAGCGGGAAGAGCUCAAAUUUGAAAUCUUAAAGGGUUUCCCUUUACGAAUUGUAGUUUAAAGAAGUGUUUUCUGUUGAGGUUUUGGUAAAAGUUCUUUGGAAUAGGACAUCAUAGAGGGUGAGAAUCCCGUAUUUGACCUUUACUUUCAACUUUGUGAUACACUUUCAAAGAGUCGGACUGUUUGGGAAUGCAGUCCAAAAUGGGUGGUAAAUUUCAUCUAAAGCUAAAUAUUGGCGAGAGACCGAUAGCGAACAAGUACCGUGAGGGAAAGAUGAAAAGAACUUUGAAAAGAGAGUUAAACAGUACGUGAAAUUGUCAAAAGGGAAGCGUUUGACACCAGUGUUGUUUUUCUGAAAAUCAAUUAAAGAACUGUUUAUGCUAAGCUGUUUAGACUUUAUCAGCUAAUCUGUUUAGUUUUGAGCUUUUCUUUAAUGCACUUUUCAGUUAACAAGUCAACAUCAAUUUCUUUUGCUGUAAAAAAGCUUGAGGAAGGUGGCUUGAGAUUCGUCUUAAGUGUUUAUAGCCUCUUGCCUAUGCAGUCGGAGAGAUUGAGGUCUGCAGCGUAGAUCCUUCGGGGCUAAAUGCAUUUGUGCUAAGUUAUAGCAUUUUAUAGACAACUUGUUGACUAUGAUUUGUCUUGUAGCUUACUCGCUUAUGUUAUUUUACCUACGCUUAGGAUGUUGAUCUGAGUGCGUGCGC